rnacentral:rRNA from 1 species
AUUUAAAGCUAUACCACCCUGAACACGCCCGAUCUCUUCCGAUCUCAGAAGCUAAGUAGAGUGGGUCCUGCUUAGUACUUGGAGAGGAGGCACCAAAGCUACCCUUC